UACGUAGGGUGCAGGCGUUAAUCGGAAUUACUGGGCGUAAAGCGUGCGUAGGCGGCCAGAUAAGUCCGGUGUGAAAGUCAAAGGCUCAACCUUUGAAUGCCGCUGGAAACUGUCUGGCUAGAGUCCGGGAGGGGCGAGUGGAAUUCCUGGUGUAGCGGUGAAAUGCGCAGAUAUCAGGAGGAACACCAAUGGCGAAGGCAGCUCGCUGGAACGGUACUGACGCUGAGGCGCGAAAGCGUGGGGAGCGAACAGG
rnacentral:rRNA from 1 species